rnacentral:siRNA from 1 species
GGAAAAGGAUUGGCUCUGAG